CCCGGGCCUUGUACACACCGCCCGUCACACCACGAGAGUUUGUAACACCCGAAGUCGGUGGAGUAACCGUAAGGAGCUAGCCGCUAAGGUGGGACAGAUGAUUGGGGUG
rnacentral:rRNA from 1 species